rnacentral:rRNA from 1 species
UACAGAGACUGCAAGCGUUAUUCGGAUUCACUGGGCGUAAAGGGUGCGCAGGCGGCCGUGUGUGUGAGGCGUGAAAGCCUGGAGCUUAACUCCAGAAUUGCACCUCAAACUACAUGGCUAGAGCAUUGGAGAGGGUAGCAGAAUUCACGGUGUAGCAGUGAAAUGCGUAGAUAUCGUGAGGAAUACCAGAGGCGAAGGCGGCUACCUGGACAAUUGCUGACGCUCAGGCACGAAAGCGUGGGGAGCAAACGGG